UACGUAGGGGGCGAGCGUUGUCCGGAUUUAUUGGGCGUAAAGAGCGUGUAGGCGGCCAGGUAGGUCUGCUGUGAAAACUCGAGGCUCAACCUCGAGACGUCGGCGGAAACCAUCUGGCUAGAGUCCGGAAGAGGAGAGUGGAAUUCCUGGUGUAGCGGUGAAAUGCGCAGAUAUCAGGAAGAACACCAGUGGCGAAGGCGGCUCUCUGGGACGGUACUGACGCUGAGGCGCGAAAGCUAGGGGAGCAAACAGG
rnacentral:rRNA from 1 species